rnacentral:rRNA from 1 species
UACGUAGGGUGCGAGCGUUGUCCGGAAUUAUUGGGCGUAAAGAGCUCGUAGGCGGUCUGUUACGUCUGCUGUGAAAACCCAGGGCUUAACCCUGGGCUUGCAGUGGAUACGGGCAGACUAGAGGCAGGUAGGGGAGAAUGGAAUUCCCGGUGUAGCGGUGAAAUGCGCAGAUAUCGGGAGGAACACCGGUGGCGAAGGCGGUUCUCUGGGCCUGACCUGACGCUGAGGAGCGAAAGCGUGGGGAGCGAACAGG